rnacentral:rRNA from 1 species
GACGAACGCUGGCGGCGUGCCUAAUACAUGCAAGUCGAAAGCAGUGGGGACGGGUGAGUAACACGUGGGUAACCUCCCAUCAGAGGGGAUAACACUUGGAAACAGGUGCUAAAACGAUACUGAUGGAAGGACCCGCGGUGCAUUCGCUAGUUGGUGAGAGAACGGCUCAGCAAGGCAACUAUGCAUAGCCGACCUGGAAGGUUGAUCGGCCACACGGGGACGGAGACACGUCCCAGACGCCUACGGGAGGCAGCAGUAGGGAAUCUUCGGCAAUGGUCGAAAGUCUGACCGAGCAACGCCGCGUGAGUGAAGAAGGUUUUCGGAUCGUAAAACUCUGUUGUUAGAGAAGCGGUAUCUAACCAGAAAGCCACGGCUAACUACGUGCCAGCAGCCGCGGUAAUAC